rnacentral:rRNA from 1 species
GAUGAACGCUGGCGGCGUGCCUAAUACAUGCAAGUCGAGCGGAGCGGGGAGGGGUGAGAGACACGUGGAUAACCUCCUAUAAGACGGGGAUAACCUCGGGGAACCGGAGCUAAAACCGCAUAUUAUAGCUGGAUCCGCGCUGCAUUAGCUGGUGGGUAAGGUAACGGCUUACCAAGGCAACGAUGCAUAGCCGACCGGAGAGGGUGAGCGGCCACACUGGAACUGAGACACGGUCCAGACUCCUACGGGAGGCAGCAGUAGGGAAUCUUCCGCAAUGGGCGAAAGCCUGACGGAGCAACGCCGCGUGAGUGAUGAAGGUCUUCGGAUCGUAAAACUCUGUUAUUAGGGAAGCGGUACCUAAUCAGAAAGCCACGGCUAACUACGUGCCAGCAGCCGCGGUAAUUC